AUUGAACGCUGGCGGCAGGCCUAACACAUGCAAGUCGAACGAGUGGCGGACGGGUGAGUAAUGUAUGGGAAACUGCCCGAUGGAGGGGGAUAACUACUGGAAACUGUAGCUACUACCGCAUACCAUCGGAUGUUCCAACAUGGGAGUAGCUAGUAGGUGGGGGAACGGCCCACCUAGGAGACGAUCCCUAGCUGGUCUGAGAGGAUGACCAGCAACACUUGAACUGAUACACGGUCCAUACUCCUACGGGAGGAAGCAGUGGGGAAUAUUGCACAAUGGGCGCAAGCCUGAUGGAGCCAUGCCGCGUGUAUGAAGAAGGCCUUCGGGUUGUAAAGUACUUUCAGUGAGGAGGCGGUACUCGCAGAAGAAGCACCGGCUAACUCCGUGCCAGCCGCCGCGGUAAUUC
rnacentral:rRNA from 1 species